rnacentral:rRNA from 1 species
ACGAACGCUGGCGGCGGGCUUAACACAUGCAAGUCGAGCGCGGCCUUUCGGGGCUGAGCGGCGGACGGGUGAGUAACGCGUGGGAACGUGCCCUUCUCUCUGGAAUAGCCCUGGGAAACCGGGAGUAAUGCCGGAUACGCCCUUUUCGUAGCGAUACGGGGAGGGGAAAGAUUUAUCGGGGAAGGAUCGGCCCGCGUUGGAUUAGGUAGUUGGUGGGGUAACGGCCUACCAAGCCGACGAUCCAUAGCUGGUUUGAGAGGAUGACCAGCCACACUGGGACUGAGACACGGCCCAGACUCCUACGGGAGGCAGCAGUGGGGAAUCUUGGACAAUGGGGGCAACCCUGAUCCAGCCAUGCCGCGUGAGCGAUGAAGGCCUUAGGGUUGUAAAGCUCUUUCAGCGGGGAAGGUAAUGACGGUACCCGCAGAAGAAGCCCCGGCUAACUCCGU